rfam:Pongo abelii chromosome 7.
GGGUUUCCUUCUUCAACAGUGCUUGGACAGAACCC